GAAAUGCGAUAAGUAAUGUGAAUUGCAGAAUUCAGUGAAUCAUCGAAUCUUUGAACUCACAUUGCGCCCGCCAGAAUUCUGGCGGGCAUGCCUGUUCGAGCGUCAUUUCAACCCUCGAGCUCCCCUUUCGGGGGGAGCCCGGCGUUGGGGACCCGGCGCUAACAACGCCGGCCCCGAAAUGGAGUGGCGGCCCGUCCGCGGCGACCUCUGCGUAGUAACAACCACUCGCACCGGGACCCGGGCGCGGCCACGCCGUAAAACACCCCACCUUCCGAAUGUUGACCUCGAAUCAGGUAGGAAUACCCGCUGAACUUAAGC
rnacentral:misc_RNA from 1 species